CAAAACAAUAUUCAUUGUUU
rnacentral:snRNA from 1 species